rnacentral:tRNA from 1 species
GCCCAUGUAUCGGGCCGGGUCUUCUACCCCGUGCACCCGUAACUGGAUCAUGCAGGUUCGACCCCUGUCAUGGGCUCCA